rnacentral:tRNA from 1 species
GGGGGUAGCACAAUAUGGCUAGUGCGUCUGUUCUCCUGAGUUCAGAAGGUGUGGGUUCGAUUCCCACUCCCCCCU